AGUUUUGAGCUAAAUAUAUUUAUAAUAUUAGUUAUUUAUGAAGGUGUUGUAAAACCUUUAUUUAAAAUUAUAUUUAGGGGUGAUAGGCCUUUCAAAAACUAAGAUAUCUUGAAUCUAAUUAAAAGUAUAUAGUACAAUUAACACAACUAUUAAGUGAUUAGGCUUUAUAGAAUUAUUAACCUAUAAGAUUUUAUUUACUAUAAUUUAAUAAUUAAGUAUAUAAAUAUAUUAAUAUACAUAUAUUAUAGUUUAUAAAAGAGUAAUUAGAUAGAUUAAAGUUCAUAUUUCUUAUAAUAAUGUUAAUAUUAGUAUUAAGUUUAUAUUUAUAUGAUGAACUCGGCAAAAAUACUUCUCAACUGUUUAUCAAAAACAUAACUAUGUGAAUGAAUACAUAGCGGUUUCUGCUCAA
rnacentral:rRNA from 1 species